GACGAACGCUGGCGGCGUGCUUAACACAUGCGAGUCGAGCGGAAAGGCCCUUCGGGGUACUCGAGCGGCGAACGGGUGAGUAACACGUGAGUAACCUGCCCCAGACUUUGGGAUAACCCUCGGAAACGGGGGCUAAUACCGGAUACGACACAGCUUCGCAUGGGGUCUGUGUGGAAAGUUUUUCGGUUUGGGAUGGGCUCGCGGCCUAUCAGCUUGUUGGUGGGGUGAUGGCCUACCAAGGCGACGACGGGUAGCCGGCCUGAGAGGGCGACCGGCCACACUGGGACUGAGAAACGGCCCAGACUCCUACGGGAGGCAGCAGUGGGGAAUAUUGCACAAUGGGCGGAAGCCUGAUGCAGCGACGCCGCGUGAGGGAUGACGGCCUUCGGGUUGUAAACCUCUUUCAGCAGGGACGAAGCGUAAGUGACGGUACCUGCAGAAGAAGCGCCGGCCAACUACGUG
rnacentral:rRNA from 1 species